CCCUCCCGCCCCGCCCCCAGCGCGUGCCCGCCCGGCGCCCUCUAGGCUGGAAGGCUGCAGGAGCGCUACCGGUGCCAGAACUGCCAGAGCGGGAGGAGCGCGGCGCGGGCCAGCUGGGACUGCUGGACAGCGGGGUCCAGGCUAGAGGGGAGCGGUCAGUGACGGCUGUGGAGGAGGGAGGCGCUGAGCGUCAGCGCGGGAGUCGAGCCUGUGGGCCACUGAACUGGGGGGCUGGCCGAGGUGGGGCUCCCGCCCUGAGGGCGCGCCUUAGGGAGGGGACAGGGGCCGGCGGGACCCUGCUUUGUCUUAGUCGCACUGAGGUCCAUCUCCUAACAAAUUAUUGGAAGGAAUAUGAGAAAAGUAAGUAGGGAUUUUGAAGUAUCAGUUAAAAGAACCAAAAUUGUUUAUGUUUAGAACAUUGGUAGUUAAUUUGGUGAUGUUAUUUCUGGAUGUAUAAAGUUAAUUGGCAAGUGCUUAUCAAAUGCCUUUGUGUGUGUGUGUUGGGUGUGGAGGGUGUCUGUGACACGGAGUCUCAUUCACCCUGUCAGCCAGGCUGAAGUGUGGUGGCGCAAUCUCAGCUCACUGCAACCUCUGCCUCCCAGGUUCAAGCGAUUCUCCUGCCUCAACCUGCGUAGCUGGAGUUACAGGCACUUGCCACCACACCAGACUAAUUUUUUGUAUUUUUGGUACAGACAGGAUUUCACCAUGUUGGCCAGGCUGGCCUUGAACUCCUGACCUCAGGUGAUCUGCUCACCUCGGCCUCCUAAAGUGCUGGGAUUACAGGUGUGAGCCACCAUGCCCGGCUCCCAAAUGUUCGUUUUUGAGGAAUAUAUUUAUUAAUAGAUUCUGAGAGGUCUACACAGGUGGUAGUCCAUCACCACAAACACUGACAAUAUAAUAAACCAAGAGAUGCUAUUUUUUAAAAAUCUCUAUAGGACUGUGAAAGGGAAGAGAAGCCAGCUAUUACCCUAAUGCCUAUGAUGUGUGUCAGGUGCUGGGGGUGAUUUUCACUUAUCCUAUAGCUUGUUUACCCUCCCAACAAACUUGAAAGGCAGAAGUUAUUUGUUUGUUUGUUUGUUUAUUUUGAGGGUCUCACUGUUGCCCAGGCUAGAGUGCAGUAGUGUGAUCACGGCUCACUGCAGCCUUGACCUGGGCUCAAGUGAGCCUCCUGCCUCAGCCUCCCGAGUAACUGGGACCACAGGUGCAUGCCACCAUGUCCAGCUAAUUUUUUUUCUUUUUAAGAAAUGCAGAGUCUCACCAUGUUGCUCAGGCUGGUCUCAGACUCCUGGACUCAAGCCAUCCUCCUGCCUCUGCCUCUCAAAGUGCUGAGAUUACAGGUGUGAGCCACUGCACUAGGGUUAAAGUGUAAGU
rnacentral:lncRNA from 1 species